GGGGCUGUAGUGUAACUUGGCUAUCACUCGACCUUCGGGGGGUCGAAAUCGGGGUUCAAAUCCUCGCAGCCCCA
rnacentral:tRNA from 1 species